AUACUUACCUGGCGGGGAGAUACCAUGAUCAUGAGUGGUUCACCAGAGGCCGAGCUCAGCCAUUGCACUUCGGUUGUGCUGACCGUGUCAUAAUUCCCCAAAUGUGGGAAUCUCGACUGCAUAAUUUGUGGUAGUGGGGGACUGCGUCCGCGUCUCCUG